UACAGAGACUGCAAGCGUUAUUCGGAUUCACUGGGCGUAAAGGGUGCGCAGGCGGCCAAGUGUGUUAGGCGUGAAAGCCCGGGGCUUAACCCCGGAAUUGCACCUAAAACUACAUGGCUAGAGCAUUGGAGAGGGUAGCAGAAUUCAUGGUGUAGCAGUGAAAUGCGUAGAUAUCAUGAGGAAUACCAGAGGCGAAGGCGGCUACCUGGACAAUUGCUGACGCUUAGGCACGAAAGCGUGGGGAGCAAAAGGG
rnacentral:rRNA from 1 species